rnacentral:rRNA from 1 species
AAAAGAAACUAACAAGGAUUCCCCUAGUAACGGCGAGCGAAGCGGGAAGAGCUCAAAUUUGAAAGCUGGCGUCUUCGGCGUCCGCGUUGUAAUCUCGAGACGUGUUUUCCGUGCGGCUCUAUGGACAAGUCCCUUGGAACAGGGCAUCGUAGAGGGUGAAAAUCCCGUACUUGCCAUGGAAGUACCGUGCUUUGUGAUACACGCUCCAAGAGUCGAGUAGUUUGGGAUUGCUGCUCAAAGUGGGUGGUAGACUCCAUCUAAAGCUAAAUAUCGGGGAGAGACCGAUAGCGAACAAGUACCGUGAGGGAAAGAUGAAAAGCACUUUGGAAAGAGAGUUAAAAGUACGUGAAAUUGUCGAAAGGGAAGCACUUGAAGUCAGCCAUGCUGCUUGAGACUCAGCCUGGCUUUUGCUUGGUGUAUUUCUCGGUAGCAAGCCAGCAUUGGUUUGUGUCGUCGGAGAAGCGCAUGGGGAAUGUGGCAUCCUCGGAUGUGUUAUAGCCCUGUGCAGGAUACGACGACGUA